rnacentral:rRNA from 1 species
UACGUAGGGUGCGAGCGUUAAUCGGAAUUACUGGGCGUAAAGCGUGCGCAGGCGGUUUUGUAAGACAGAUGUGAAAUCCCCGGGCUCAACCUGGGAACUGCAUUUGUGACUGCACAGCUGGAGUGCGGCAGAGGGGGAUGGAAUUCCGCGUGUAGCAGUGAAAUGCGUAGAGAUGCGGAGGAACACCGAUGGCGAAGGCAGCCCCCUGGGCUGACACUGACGCUCAGGCACGAAAGCGUGGGGAGCAAACAGG